UACGUAGGCAGCAAGCGUUGUUCGGAAUUACUGGGCGUAAAGGGCGCGUAGGCGGCCUGCUAAGUCGAACGUGAAAUCCCCGAGCUCAACUCGGGAACUGCGUCCGAUACUGGCAGGCUUGAAUCCGGGAGAGGGAUGCGGAAUUCCAGGUGUAGCGGUGAAAUGCGUAGAUAUCUGGAGGAACACCGGUGGCGAAGGCGGCAUCCUGGACCGGCAUUGACGCUGAGGCGCGAAAGCCAGGGGAGCAAACGGG
rnacentral:rRNA from 1 species